GGUCAGAAUUUUCUCUUCUAGGUUCAGAAGAGCCACAUUUUGCCGUUCCGACUCUAAAGCAACUACAUUUCUCUACAGAGCACAGAACUGUAAGAAAUGGUCAAAUAUCACCAAGUGCACAAGACUCAAGACUGGCAUAGUAGAAGACAAAGGUGGAUAUAUGGGUUAUUCAAUCAACCUCCUAAUAUGGGCAUAAACUCCAGUGGCUUGGACUCUGAAGCAUGAUUCCUCAAAAUAAAGCAAACAGUUCCUCAUGA
rnacentral:lncRNA from 1 species